rnacentral:rRNA from 1 species
AGGACGAACGCUGGCGGCGUGCUUAACACAUGCAAGUCGAGCGGAAAGGCUCCUUCGGGGGUACUCGAGCGGCGAACGGGUGAGUAACACGUGAGUAAUCUGCCCUCCACUCUGGGAUAACGUUCAGAAAUGGGUGCUAAUACCGGAUGUUCACAGGUUCACGCAUGUGGGUUUGUGGAAAGGUUUUUCUGGUGGGGGAUGGGCCCGCGGCCUAUCAGCUUGUUGGUGGGGUGAUGGCCUACCAAGGCUUCGACGGGUA